rnacentral:rRNA from 1 species
CACGUAGGGGGCAAGCGUUGUCCGGAAUCAUUGGGCGUAAAGAGCGUGUAGGCGGCCCGGUAAGUCCGCUGUGAAAGUCCAGGGCUCAACCCUGGGAUGCCGGUGGAUACUGUCGGGCUCGAGUCCGGAAGAGGAGUGUGGAAUUCCUGGUGUAGCGGUGAAAUGCGCAGAUAUCAGGAGGAACACCAAUGGCGAAGGCAGCACUCUGGGGACGUGACUGACGCUGAGACGCGAAAGCGUGGGGAGCAAACAGG